CGCCGAUCUCUAUCAACAUCGCAUGGCGCAAAAUGGCCGGAAUCGCAAUGCUUCCCACGGUUGAAAAUCCCGUCAGGAACUUUGCAGCAUCAGCCCAGCUAUAACAGUCCAGAUAGAAGCGACUCGGACGAAGAGCUUCCGAAGAACAAGCAAGGCAUUGGAACCAUCACGUACAUGAGAGCUGGAGAAGAAGAAUCAAAGCAACGAACACCCAAAGUUGAUCGAGGUACCUGUGAGCAUUGGCCACCAAUUGCUGUACAAGGCACAAGCCUGUGAAAGAAAACGAGUUUUAAUCCACCAGAGAGAAAUCUUCCAUCUA